AAUGUCUGGGAAACUGCCUGAUGAGGGGGAUAACUACUGGAAACGGUAGCUAAUACCGCAUAACGUCGCAAGACCAAAGAGGGGGACCUUCGGGCCUCUUGCCAUCAGAUGUGCCCAGAUGGGAUUAGCUAGUAGGUGGGGUAACGGCUCACCUAGGCGACGAUCCCUAGCUGGUCUGAGAGGAUGACCAGCCACACUGGAACUGAGACACGGUCCAGACUCCUACGGGAGGCAGCAUG
rnacentral:rRNA from 1 species